CCUACGGGGGGCAGCAGUGGGGAAUAUUGGGCAAUGGGCGCAAGCCUGACCCAGCAACGCCGCGUGAAGGAAGAAGGCUUUCGGGUUGUAAACUUCUUUUGACAGGGAAGAGCAGAAGGCGGUACCUGUAGAAUAAGCCGCGUCUAACUACGUGCCCGCAGCCGCGGUAAUACGGAGGUGGCAAGCGUUGUCCGGAUUUACUGGGUGUAAAGGGCGUGUAGCCGGGCUGACAAGUCAGAUGUGAAAUCCGGGGGCUCAACCCCAGAACUGCAUUUGAAACUGUUGGUCUUGAGUAUGGGAGAGGCAGGCGGAAUUCCUAGUGUAGCGGUGAAAUGCGUAGAGAUUAGGAGGAAUACCAGUGGCGAAGGCGGCCUGCUGGACGACAACUGACGGUGAGGCGCGAAAGCGUGGGGAGCAAACAGGAUUAGAUACCCUUGUAGUC
rnacentral:rRNA from 1 species